CAAAAAGACAGCAAUAUGGACAUGUGGUAGACUGCCGUUCGAACGUUUAUAGGCGGAAAAGAAAAGGCAUCCCCAACGUACUGUAUUAAGAACAUGAAAGCUAUUUUUGAAUCAAAGUCAAAACAGUAACUGUUAAUAAAUUAAUUUAAAAUAAAGUAUUAGAGUUUUUGCAAAUUCUAUAAUGUAGCAAAUUGACCAAAUGUUAUUUACUUUGUAAAAAUGAACUUCACAUUUAAUGUAUAUAUAUUUUUUAGUGUUUUUUAUUUUGUAUGGCCUAGUUUUUUGGUUUGUACGAAAAAUUUUUGUGAUUUAUGAUGACGUAUAAAUAAAACAUGGUUUGUUUUAAGAUACUCCAAAAAA